rnacentral:tRNA from 1 species
GCGUUUCGGCUAACGGUAGGCCGAUCGACUCUCAUUCGAUACGUGCGGGUUCGAAUCCCGCAUCGCA